GUUACCCUACGGGAGGCAGCAGUGAGGAAUAUUGGUCAAUGGGCGGAAGCCUGAACCAGCCAAGUCGCGUGAGGGAAUAAGGCCCUACGGGUCGUAAACCUCUUUUGCCGGGGAGCAAGGGCCGGGACGCGUCCCGGCCCGGAGAGUACCCGGAGAAAAAGCAUCGGCUAACUCCGUGCCAGCAGCCGCGGUAAUACGGAGGAUGCGAGCGUUAUCCGGAUUUAUUGGGUUUAAAGGGUGCGUAGGCGUGCCUUUAAGUCAGCGGUAAAAAUUCGGGGCUCAACCCCGUCACGCCGUUGAAACUG
rnacentral:rRNA from 1 species